UACGAAGGGGGCUAGCGUUGCUCGGAAUCACUGGGCGUAAAGGGUGCGUAGGCGGGUCUUUAAGUCAGAGGUGAAAUCCUGGAGCUCAACUCCAGAACUGCCUUUGAUACUGAAGAUCUUGAGUUCGGGAGAGGUGAGUGGAACUGGCGGGUGUAGAGGUGAAAUUCGUAGAGUAUUCGAAGAACACCAGUGGCGAAGGCGGCUCACUGGCC
rnacentral:rRNA from 1 species